GGCUUAAAAAUAGAUGGGUGAUAGUGUUAGUUUGCUGAUGGCUAUUACCAUGAGUUAUUUUUAGUUAUUUUACUUUCCCUUACGAGGGAUUGGACGGAAAAAAAAUAGUGAGGGGAUUCAUUUCUUCUAUUUGUCUUCCCUUGUUCUUGCUAGUGCUUUCGAAGGGAGGGAGAGACCUCAAAACCGAUUGCAUGUGGAGAUAAAUUUUGGUUUUAGCUCGUCUAGGAGCAUAUUCUUCAAAUGAUCUGGUAAUUUCUCAAAGCUCUUCUCUGGAUCAUAGUUGCUUUUGAAGGAAAUUUUGAUGGAUGAUGGACGGUGAAGCUUGGCUUGAAAGGUUAAAUCGCUUAAAUGCAUGGAUUAUUAGUGCAUAAAUUUCUUAAAUGUGGUAGAAAGAGCCUUGAUAUUAUUUUUGUUGUAAAUGUUUCUCUUUUGUAAUACAAAGUUGAUUUUGUUAGCUAAAGGAGAGGAAGAGGGCUGUAGCAAGAAGAUGUAGGAGCAUAUUAGAAGCUAGGAUUAACUGGGGAAAAAUUUCUGGCUGAGGGAAAAGUUUUUGUUUUGGUGAUUUUGGGGUUUUCUCAAGAGUAGAGCAGAUGAUUUUGAAGUAGGAAGAGAAGGAUGUUUACAAGGUUCUGGUGGAACCUGUGUAUUUGGUAAAGAUUUGUGAGAUGAGUAAUCAACAAGGCCAUAUGUCUCUUGGAGCAUCAAUCUUUGGAGGUGGUCAUACUUCAAAUGGAAUAACCUUGUUGAGUUGGCAGAGGAACUUUUGGAUGAUCCUAUAUUGCACAUCAUGUUUUCUGAUAUCCUCAACAAGAACUUUAUGAAUCCAAGCAGUAGGAAAAGAUCCUAACUGGGUUGCUCUUCCUCGUUUAACCAAAUACUGAGGCUUGUAAA